rnacentral:rRNA from 1 species
CCUACGGGGUGCUGCAGUGAGGAAUAUUGGUCAAUGGACGAGAGUCUGAACCAGCCAAGUAGCGUGAAGGAUGACUGCCCUAUGGGUUGUAAACUUCUUUUAUAUGGGAAUAAAAUGUUCCACGUGUGGGAUUUUGUAUGUACCAUAUGAAUAAGGAUCGGCUAACUCCGUGCCAGCAGCCGCGGUAAUACGGAGGAUCCGAGCGUUAUCCGGAUUUAUUGGGUUUAAAGGGAGCUUAGGUGGAUUGUUAAGUCAGUUGUGAAAGUUUGCGGCUCAACCGUAAAAUUGCAGUUGAAACUGGCAGUCUUGAGUACAGUAGAGGUGGGCGGAAUUCGUGGUGUAGCGGUGAAAUGCUUAGAUAUCACGAAGAACUCCGAUUGCGAAGGCAGUUCACUGGACUGCAACUGACACUGAGGCUCGAAAGUGUGGGUAUCAAACAGGAUUAGAUACCCGAGUAGUC